GACGAACGCUGGCGGUGGGCUUAACACAUGCAAGUCGAACGGAAAGGCACUGCUUGUGUGGGGUGCUCGAGUGGCGAACGGGUGAGUAACACGUGAGUAACCUGCUCUUGACUUUGGGAUAACUUCAGGAAACUGGGGCUAAUACCGGAUAGGAGAUCCUGCUGCAUGGUGGGGGUUGGAAAGUUUCGGCGGUUGGGGAUGGACUCGCGGCUUACCAGCUUGUUGGUGGGGUAGUGGCUUACCAAGGCUUUGACGGGUCGCCGGCCUGAGAGGGUGACCGGCCACAUGGGGACUGAGAUACGGAGCAGACUCCUACGGGAGGCAGCAGUGGGGAAUAUUGCACAGUGGGCGGGAGCCUGAUGCAGCAACGCCGCGUGCGGGAUGACGGCCUUCGGGUUGUGAACCGCAUUCGCUUGUGACGCAGCGUGAGUGACGGUAAUGGGUAAAGAAGCACCGGCUAACUACGUG
rnacentral:rRNA from 1 species